rnacentral:lncRNA from 1 species
UGAAUGAGAUGAGCAUGUUAUUUCCAAGGCCAAGUCUUUAUGCCUUGUAGACUUUCUCAUGCAUCCAGCUGACUGGGUGGUGAAGUCCUCAAGAUUUAAGUUACAUGUUUGCAUUCCUAUUAUUUAUCUCCUGCCAUUUUUAUCCUUCCCUUUGUCAUGUAUUGCCACACAAAAGGGAAAAUGAAGUAAUGUGAGAGGUGAACGUUGUACUACAAAAUCUUAGUUAAAUAUCGAAUUCUUUUCUUUAAAAAUCAAAUAUGAUUCUGGUAUCAUUUGAAAAUACUGAGAUACUUGCACUCCAUAAGAUCUGAAUUGAUUUUUUUUAUUACAAGUAUGCUAUGAACUGAUUGUUAUGUUAGAAAAUAAGUUAUGAUAAGAGAUUAAGUGAUAAUUAACAUAUUAUAUUAGUAACUGAAGGCAUAGGAAAAGUAAUACUCUCUCCAUUUCAAAAUAUAAGAUCUUUUGAAGUCAACUUUAGACACUUUCAAACUCAAAAUUGGCAUAUUUUAGUCGAUACAAUGAUAAAUAUUGUAAACUAUCUCAAAGUAGUCAUUGUAAGAUUUAUUGAUUCAUAAUUUUUCAUUAAUAAUGUCUUAUUUUGACUUUCAAAAGUCAAUAAUAAUCUUAUAAAGAAUGGAGGGUGUAUCAUUCAGUGACAUUAUCUCCAGAACUAAGGAUCAAAUGUAAACAUGCUUUACUUUUGGUUUAGAAGGCAAACAAGUUUGUAAAUGCUGAUUUAUUCUAUAGCUUAAAUUAGUAUAUAUGAGAUGUACAUGAAUACAUGAUAUGAAUUGCUCUUUUGCAGACUAUCAAUUUUUUUAAGCUUGGACCAAAUCUUAGCUUAGUUGAUUUGCCUGGAUAUGGGUUUGCUUAUGCAAAAGAAGAAGUGAUUAAACUUGGGAAAACCUUGUGAGUAUGCAACUAUGUGUUAGCCUUUCUAUUUCUUCAUUUGGUUUCUCCUGACCUAUUUUUGGCUAACAUCUAAGGUUCACUUUGUGUACACCAACUGAUUAAUCUCUUUUAAAUUGUCAGCAUUAAUUACUUAGUGAAAUGAUAAGAUUUUAUAGAACCACAUGGGCAACUUGUUAGUAAAAUCUUCACCCAGUGGAGGGGGUUGAUAUUAAAUUGAUCAAAGGGUUGUUUGGGUCUAAACUUGAAAAGGAUAAUGAUCCAGAAAGAUCUGAAGUGAAACGCGCAUAUCAAUAAUUGUAGUUUUGUUAAUUUAUUUAAGGCUUCAUACAUAUGAACAAAAAUUGUGGGCUUUAAUGGUGCUUUUUCUCUCUACUCACAUUCUCACUCUCUCCCCGUCUCCAUAAUUUUAAUUUGUUGCUCUAUUGGCCUUGAGAUAUCACUUUGAAAACAAUAAAAGGGAAGACACAUUGAAUACACAGAUUUUAUUCUGUUAAUUAGAUAUUCUUUACAAUAAUUCUGAAUAUGAUUUGAUAUAAACUUCUAAACUUGCUUCAGUUGUUUGAUGACACUAAGAAUUUCUCAUAUCCAAUGCACCAUCUAUUGUGAUGACGUUCUAACUAAUAGGCAUAAGCAUCUACAUAAGUUCUUAACAUCAAUUCCAUGUUUUCACCUUCCAUCCUUAGGUAUGCUCUGCUUGUCUAGCACCCACUAGGAUAGUUUUCUUCUCCAAUAUCAUGUUUAGUGUUUCUUUUAACAAGGAAAGGGGAAAUGAUUUUUGAGAAAAACAAAGAUGGUAAGAAUAAAGGAGAUUGAUGGUACUAUUUCGAUGAUCUUAUUUCAUUUAGGUUGGUAGGUUGGUUUAUGUCUUCAAUUCCACAAUUAAUCAGUAAUUUAGGACAUUUAAUAUGGGACAAAGGGAGUACGAUUUUUGUUGUGGACUUAAAAUUUCCUGAAAUAAUAAUAAUUGACAACUAAGUACUGACUAGUGUUUGAAUGAGAUGAGCAUGUUAUUUCCAAGGCCAAGUCUUUAUGCCUUGUAGACUUUCUCAUGCAUCCAGCUGACUGGGUGGUGAAGUCCUCAAGAUUCAAGUUACAUGUUUGCAUUCCUAUUAUUUAUCUCUUGCCAUUUUUAUCCUUUCCCUUUGUCAUGUAUUGCCACACAAAAGGGAAAAUGAAGUAAUGUGAGAGGUGAACGUUGUACUACAAAAUCUUAGUUAAAUAUCGAAUUCUUUUCUUUAAAAAUCAAAUAUGAUUAUGGUAUCAUUUGAAAAUACCUGAGAUACUUGCACUCCAUAAGAUCUGAAUUGAUUUUUUUUUAUUACAAGUAUGUUAUGAACUGAUUGUUAUGUUAGAAAAUAAGUUAUGAUAAGAGAUUAAGUGAUAAUUAACAUAUGAUAUUAGUAACUGAAGGCAUAGGAAAAGUAAUACUCUCCAUUUCAAAAUAUAAGAUCUUUUGAAGUCAACAUUAGACACUUUCAAACUCAAAAUUGGCAUAUUUUAGUCGAUACAAUGAUAAAUAUUGUAAACUAUCUCAAAGUAGUCAUUAUAAGAUUUAUUGAUUCAUAAUUUUUCAUUAAUAAUGUCUUAUUUUGACUUUCAAAAGUCAAUAAUAAUCUUAUAAAGAAUGGAGGGUGUAUCAUUCAGUGACAUUAUCUCCAGAACUAAGGAUCAAAUGUAAACAUGCUUUACUUUUGGUUUAGAAGGCAAACAAGUUUGUAAGUGCUGAGUUAUUCUAUAGCUUAAAUUAGUAUAUAUGAGAUGUACAUGAAUACAUGAUAUGAAUUGCUCUUUUGCAG